GACGAACGCUGGCGGCGUGCUUAACACAUGCAAGUCGAACGAUGAACCCGGAGCUUGCUCCGGUGGAUUAGUGGCGAACGGGUGAGUAACACGUGAGUAACCUGCCCUUGACUCUGGGAUAACUGCGGGAAACUGUAGCUAAUACCGGAUACGACCCUCGGCGGCAUCGCGAGGGGGUGGAAAGAAUUUCGGUCAAGGAUGGACUCGCGGCCUAUCAGCUAGUUGGUGAGGUAACGGCUCACCCAGGCGACGACGGGUAGCCGGCCUGAGAGGGUGACCGGCCACACUGGGACUGAGACACGGCCCAGACUCCUACGGGAGGCAGCAGUGGGGAAUAUUGCACAAUGGGCGCAAGCCUGAUGCAGCAACGCCGCGUGAGGGAUGACGGCCUUCGGGUUGUAAACCUCUUUCAGCAUCGACGAAGCGAAAGUGACGGUAGGUGCAGAAGAAGGACCGGCCAACUACGUGCCAGCAGCCGCCGCAG
rnacentral:rRNA from 1 species